AGUGUAGGCGGUUACUUAAGUCGGAUGUGAAAGCCCUGGGCUCAACCUGGGAAUGGCAUUCGAUACUGGGUAACUAGAGUUUGGUAGAGGUAAGUGGAAUUCCGGGUGUAGCGGUGAAAUGCGUAGAUAUCCGGAGGAACAUCAGUGGCGAAGGCGGCUUACUGGACCAAAACUGACCCUGAGGCUCGAAAGCGUGGGGAGCAAACAGGAUUAGAUACCCUGGUAGUCC
rnacentral:rRNA from 1 species